rnacentral:tRNA from 1 species
GGGGUUGUAGCUCAGUGGUAGAGCGCUUACCUAGCACAGGUAAGGCACUAGGUUCAAUCCUCAGCAUCA